AUCGAUGAAGAACGCAGCGAAAUGCGAUAAGUAAUGUGAAUUGCAGAAUUCAGUGAAUCAUCGAAUCUUUGAACGCACAUUGCGCCCCUUGGUAUUCCGGGGGGCAUGCCUGUUCGAGCGUCAUUUCAACCCUCAAGCUUAGCUU
rnacentral:rRNA from 1 species